GAAGUCGUGGCCGAGUGGUUAAGGCGAUCGACUAGAAAUCCAUUGGGGUCUCCCCGCACAGGUUCGAAUCCUGUCUAGUGCG
rnacentral:tRNA from 2 species